UAUUAUUCUAAGGUGCUUACUUAUAUAAAGUCAUAAUACGGUUGACCAGUUUCUACCCAAGGCCCCUAAACCUUGGACUAUGAGUAAAAAUUGUGAUAUU
rnacentral:ncRNA from 2 species